GUCUGCAGCCACACCACCCUGAGCACCGUGGAUCUUGUCUGAGCUCUGAAGCAGGGCAGGGUGAGCUAGUCAGUACCUGUUUUGCUGCUAUGCCCCUAAACUCAAGCUCCAGAAC
rnacentral:rRNA from 1 species